UACGGGGGGGGCAAGCGUUGUUCGGAAUUACUGGGCGUAAAGGGCUCGUAGGCGGCCAACUAAGUCAGACGUGAAAUCCCUCGGCUUAACCGGGGAACUGCGUCUGAUACUGGAUGGCUAGAGAUUGGGAGAGGGAUGCGGAAUUCCUGGUGUAGCGGUGGAAUGCGCAGAUAUCAGGAGGAACACCGAUGGCGAAGGCAGGUCACUGGGCCGCAACUGACGCUGAGGAGCGAAAGCGUGGGGAGCGAACAGG
rnacentral:rRNA from 1 species